CUCUGUGAGGCGGAUGGGUUGGUCCAGCUCUGACCCUCCAUCAUCUUACACCUCUCUACCACGCUCAGAACCCACUCCACUUGGCAGAGGUGAAUGUGCCAAUGCCUCUAGAAUGCCAGGCACCCUAAAAUUCCAGGCCUGCCAGACACCCCGAAUUUCAAGGCGCAGCCCUGGUCCCCCAAGGCUUUGACAGCCAGGAAGAGGAGACAGGAGCCUGGAGCUUGGCUCUUUUUCCUUGGCAAAUUCUGGGGCACAGGACAGAAAGCGGAAAUAGGAAGAGACCACACCAUCCAAGCUGAGGCUUUGGGACCAAAAGGGACCCUGGGAAUCUCGAGGUCCAACUGUCUACACUUUAUGGAUGGAGACACUCGGGCCGAGAAGGGAGAAGUGAGGUCGCCCAGUGAUGUAGGAGCAGAGCAAGCACCGGGCACCGGUCCCCGGCUCGCCCAUCCCACCAGGCUGGCCCCUACUGCAGGAUUUUUGCUGUGAAAACCAGUGUUCUGACAUCAGAAGGCACAUCCUCUGCAAAUGUAGAUUUCUGAGCAAACACGCCCGUGAGAAGGUCAGCAGCAAGUUCCCGCAUGGGUGGUGACACACGGACGAGGAUUUGGUUCUUUGAGGGACCCCCAGCCCUGUUGCUGACAUUUUUUCUUUCUCCAAGCUCCUGGUUGGCGAAUCAGAUAAUUCAUCACUUGAUUCUGGUGACCUCUAGUGGACGCACUUUAAAAGCAAUAUUCAGGUCUCAAGUAAAGGGACAGAGCUCAGACAAGUGUCCCGGAAGCAGUUUAUCCAGAGCUGGGCUUCUCAGACUCUCAGGUGCCUGCCAAAGAUCUGGGAAGAUUAGGAACCCGCGGCGUCCGGCCCCGGUAGGCCUGAAGUCUGGCUCAGAGAUGGUUUCAGCUCCGCUCGGCGGGAGGCACCCCUGGGCACGCUGCAGAAGCGCAGUCACCGUUCCUGCAGUCCCAGGGCACCAUAGUCCCCUCGUGAGCCCCAUCACCCCAAGCGAUUUAGUUCCUGGGGUAUGUUCUGCGGACGUGCCUGGCCUGGAGGGCCUCCCAUGACCCCAUCUGGAGGGAGUCAAAUUUCAGACUUGAAGUAUUAGAUCCCGGCUAGUCUGGCUCCUUCGUGGCGAGUGGGGAAACAGAGAUGAAGGGAUGGGCUCUGGGGCCCGCAGGCGUUCAGAGGCAGAGCUGAGGCCAGAAUCAACACUGCCCACCGUCCCCAGACAAGGGUGUUUGCACCUGAACGCACAGGCCACAGCAGCCGCCUGCUAUACUCCCUCACCCGCGUGGCCACGCCUCCCUGCCCGUAUGCCUGUGCCCCCUUCUUUGCCUACAGAGUUUGUGACUGUCCCUCUGGGCCCAGCUGAAAUGCCCCUUCCUCUGUCACGUCCUUCUAGAAGCUCACUUCUCCUUGGCCGAAGUGGGACAGCAUCAGCACCAUGUUCAGGUUCUCAGACUCCUCCAGGACGACCCUGUCGGUCUUCAGGCCCACCAGCUCCACCUCCAGCCUCUGCCGCUGGUUCUGAAAGGAACACCAAGGUGUUCACUGCCAGCUGGCCCUUGGUUGAGAGCAAGACAUUCCAAUGGAAUGAAUGAAUGAAUGAAUGAAUAAACAA
ensembl:lncRNA